GGGCUGGUGGUGUAGGGGUAUCACGUUCGCUUCGCAUGCGAAAGGUCUCGGGUUCAAUUCCCGACCAGUCCA
rfam:Eimeria brunetti, Houghton, WGS project CBTX01000000 data, contig: Ebh_contig1277_1